ensembl:lncRNA
CUUAGACUAGUCAGUUCACCCCUCUGGGCCUCAGUUUCUUUGCCUAUAAAACGGGACGGUUGGAUUAAGGGCUUUGCCAGCUCUAAUGUUCCAUGACUAAGCACAUGGACACUCCUCGGAUUCCAGAACUCUCUGGGAGCAAUGGCUGCUGAGGGGAAGCUGCUGCUUCUUGGCAGAGUCUUAACCAACUGAGCUACACGGGAAGCCGAUACGGAUGGGCUUAAUAAAAUCUUGGGCAUAGGUAGACGACACUUCUAUCAAAAUGAUCAGCAGCAAAGGACCAGAGAAAUCCAUCCCUGCCUCCAGAGGGAAGAGAGAGGUAUAAAACAGGGAUGUCCUGAGGGCUGCACCCCAGAGCCACGCUCUGCUCUGAAGGGAAGGUCGACGAGCUCUUCCUCCCUUCCCUGGAAGAAUCGCAAGCUCCCGACCAUGCGCAGGGGAAAACCACACUUCCACGGUCCCAGCCCCUCUCCCAGAAUAUCCAGCUGCCUGUGAAACCCACAGAGAAGAGUUCCCCAG